rnacentral:SRP_RNA from 1 species
GCUGGGCAUGGUAGCUCAUGCCUGUAAUCCCAGCACUUUGGGAGGCCGAGGUGGGCAGAUCACCUGAGGUCAGAAGUUCGAGACCAGCCUGGCCAACAUGGUGAAACCUAGUCUCUACUAAAAAUACAAAAUUAGCCGGGUGUGGUGGCGCGCGCCUGCGGUCCCAGGUACUCGGGCAGCUGAGGCGAGAGAAUUGCUUGGUGGGAUUACAGGCAUCGGCCACAACACCCAGCUAAUUUUUGUAUUUGUAGUAGAGAUAGGGUUUCACCAUGUUGGUCAGGCUGGUCUUGGACUCCUGACCUUAGGUGAUCCUCCCACCUC